CGAGUUCUAUUUUGAGAGGAUCUUCCAUGGUCACAGUAAGUGUGCUAAUUAACUUCUGGCUUCAUUCUUAUAAAAAAAGAGUGUCCGGUGAUUCUGCUCGUAAUGUAUUUACUCCAUAAUUUGAGAGAUUAAUAGUUUAGUAACUCUCCUAAGUGUAAAUUAAUAACAAAUAUUCAUUCCAUAGUGCAUAAAUUAUUUAUUUAUUUUAAAAAAAUAUUUGGUAGUACCAUGCAGACGAGCACAAUAUUACAUGGAUUUUUAUUUUGCCAAUAAGGUUUUGCGUGAAUUGAUCUGAGAGAUUAUGAGCAUAAGGAAUUAAACUUGUGCAGAGAAUCCCUUUUCGUUCUAAGAGUUCUAUAAAUAGUUUAAGCUAUUACUAUGAGAUUGGCAAGAAACAUUAACUAUGAACUUAAUUAGGAAUUACAAAAUCCAAAUUUACACAGAUUCUUAUUUCUACUUUUGCAGAAUAUGACAGGAAAGAACAAACAGAAGAGGGGAAACGAAGAAUGGUGUCCUCUUCGCUUCAGGCACUAAAACAGUCAAUAAGCAUUGAUAGUGAAGCCUCAGAGUAGGCCAACCCAAUUGGCUGGACCCGCACACCUUUGAUCCAAGUAGCCAGUGGCUCGGCCAUAGCCAGUAGACUUCCUCCCUCGGCUUGACCCACUUUGCUGGAGCACUCGGGGGGAUUAUUAGGAGUAGGGCUGGAGCCACUUGACCAAAUGGUCUGACCCUUUUCACGUAGCUUAGCGAGCUCACUGGUCCAGAUAUCAACAAGCCCAGACAUAGCUUUCUUACAAGUUAGCAAAAUAUCUUGAACAGUUUGAGGAAAGUGAGAAUAAAAAGGAAAGAAGGAGAUUGAAGUGGGUGUUCAGAUAUUUGAUGACGGUUGAGAUAUUUUGGAGGCAUGGCAUUAUAUAACAAUUUGUUUGAGAGGCGGUUUUGCGGUGAAACAGAGGCGCACGCUAUUCUUCUAAAUGGGUUGGAUAUUUUGAUUCACUGGGGGGUCCCCACAGGGAUUUAGAGAUAGAGAUCCCAACGCAGGAUUUGAGCAUAUGCCCGCUGAAGUUCAAGUCCAUGGUAUUUGGGAAAUUGUUAUUUCCUUUUUCUUUUUGACAAUAGGGACUUUGGUAUAUAAUUAAUUAAGAGAUUUAUAGAUACAUCUAGAAUCCACCUCACACUUCGCUUU
rnacentral:lncRNA from 1 species